rnacentral:rRNA from 1 species
AGAGUUUGAUCCUGGCUCAGGAUAAACGCUAGCGGCAGGCCUAACACAUGCAAGUCGAGGGGCAGCGGAAGAAGUAGCUUGCUACUUCUGCCGGCGACCGGCGCACGGGUGCGUAACGCGUAUGCAACCUACCUUUAACAGGGGGAUAAUCCGAAGAAAUUUGGUCUAAUACCCCAUAAUAUUUCAGAAGGCAUCUUUUGAGGUUGAAAACUCCGGUGGUUAAAGAUGGGCAUGCGUUGUAUUAGCUAGAUGGUGAGGUAACGGCUCACCAUUGCGAUGAUACAUAGGGGGACUGAGAGGUUUUCCCCCCACACUGGUACUGAGACACGGACCAGACUCCUACGGGAGGCAGCAGUGAGGAAUAUUGGUCAAUGGACGCAAGUCUGAACCAGCCAUGCCGCGUGCAGGAUGAAGGUGCUAUGCAUUGUAAACUGCUUUUGUACGAGGGUAAAUUCAGAUACGUGUAUCUGUUUGAAAGUAUCGUACGAAUAAGGAUCGGCUAACUCCGUGCCAGCAGCCGCGGUAAUACGGAGGAUCCGAGCGUUAUCCGGAUUUAUUGGGUUUAAAGGGUGCGUAGGCGGUUUGAUAAGUUAGAGGUGAAAGCUCGAUGCUCAACAUCGAAAUUGCCUCUGAUACUGUCAGACUAGAGUGUAGUUGCGGAAGGCGGAAUGUGUGGUGUAGCGGUGAAAUGCUUAGAUAUCACACAGAACACCGAUUGCGAAGGCAGCUUUCCAAGCUAUUACUGACGCUGAGGCACGAAAGCGUGGGUAGCGAACAGGAUUAGAUACCCUGGUAGUCCACGCCGUAAACGAUGAUAACUCGUUGCCGGCGAUAUAGUGUCGGUGACUAAGCGAAAGCGAUAAGUUAUCCACCUGGGGAGUACGUUCGCAAGAAUGAAACUCAAAGGAAUUGACGGGGGCCCGCACAAGCGGAGGAACAUGUG